AUUGAACGCUGGCGGCAGGCUUAACACAUGCAAGUCGAGCGGAGUGAUGGUGCUUGCACUAUCACUUAGCGGCGGACGGGUGAGUAAUGCUUAGGAAUCUGCCUAUUAGUGGGGGACAACAUCUCGAAAGGGAUGCUAAUACCGCAUACGUCCUACGGGAGAAAGCAGGGGAUCACUUGUGACCUUGCGCUAAUAGAUGAGCCUAAGUCGGAUUAGCUAGUUGGUGGGGUAAAGGCCUACCAAGGCGACGAUCUGUAGCGGGCCUGAGAGGAUGAUCCUCCACACUGGGACUGAGGCACGGCCCAGACUCCUACGGGAGGCAGCAGUGGGGAAUAUUGGACAAUGGGGGGAACCCUGAUCCAGCCAUGCCGCGUGUGUGAAGAAGGCCUUAUGGUUGUAAAGCACUUUAAGCGAGGAGGAGGCUCUUUUGGUUAAUACCCAAGAUGAGUGGACGUUACUCGCAGAAUAAGCACCGGCUAACUCUGUGCCAGCCGCCGCGGUAA
rnacentral:rRNA from 1 species